AUACGUAGGUGACAAGCGUUAUCCGGAUUUACUGGGCGUAAAGGGCGUGUAGGCGGUCUUGCAAGUCAGAAGUGAAAUUCCUGAGCUCAACUCGGGCGCUGCUUCUGAAACUGCAGGACUUGAGUGCUGGAGGGGAUAGCGGAAUUCCUAGUGGAGCGGUAAAAUGCGCAGAUAUUAGGAAGAACACCGGUGGCGAAGGCGGAUAUCUGGACAGUAACUGACGCUGAGGCGCGAAAGCGUGGGGAGCAAACAGGAUUAGAUACCCGGGUAGUCCACGCCGUAAACGAUGAAUACUAGGUGUAGGGGGUAUCGACCCCCUCUGUGCCGACGUUAACACAUUAAGUAUUCCACCUGGGGAGUACGGCCGCAAGGCUGAAACUCAAAGGAAUUGACGGGG
rnacentral:rRNA from 1 species